rnacentral:rRNA from 1 species
GACGAACGCUGGCGGCGUGCUUAACACAUGCAAGUCGAACGGACAGGCCCUGCUUUUGUGGGGUGCUCGAGUGGCGAACGGGUGAGUAACACGUGAGUAACCUGCCCUUGACUUUGGGAUAACUUCAGGAAACUGGGGCUAAUACCGGAUAGGAGCUCCUGCUGCAUGGUGGGGGUUGGAAAGUUUCGGCGGUUGGGGAUGGUCUCGCGGCUUAUCAGCUUGUUGGUGGGGUAGUGGCUUACCAAGGCUUUGACGGGUAGCCGGCCUGGGAGGGUGACCGGCCACAUUGGGACUGAGAUACGGCCCAGACUCCUACGGGAGGCAGCAGUGGGGAAUAUUGCACAAUGGGCGGAAGCCUGAUGCAGCAACGCCGCGUGCGGGAUGACGGCCUUCGGGUUGUAAACCGCUUUCGCCUGUGACGAAGCGUGAGUGACGGUAAUGGGUAAAGAAGCACCGGCUAACUACGUG